UACGUAGGGUGCAAGCGUUGUCCGGAAUUAUUGGGCGUAAAGAGCUCGUAGGCGGUUUGUUGCGUCGGCUGUGAAAUCCCGAGGCUCAACCUCGGGUCUGCAGUCGAUACGAGCAAACUAGAGUGUUGCAGGGGAGACUGGAAUUCCUGGUGUAGCGGUGAAAUGCGCAGAAUAUCAGGGAGGAACACCGGUGGCGAAGGCGGG
rnacentral:rRNA from 1 species